rnacentral:rRNA from 1 species
CCUGGUUGAUCUUGCCAGUAGUCAUAUGCUUGUCUUAAAGAUUAAGCCAUGCAUGUGUAAGUAUGAACUAAUUCAGACUAUGAAACUGUGAAUGGCUCAUUAAAUCAGUUAUAGUUUGUUUGAUGGUAUCUACUACUCGGAUAACCAUAGUAAUUCUAGAGCUAAUACGUGCAACAAACCUCGACUUUUGGAGGGGAUGCAUUUAUUAGAUAAAAGGUCGAUGCGGGCUAUGCCCGUUGCUCUGAUGAUUCAUGAUAACUCGACAGAUCGCACGACCUUUGUGCCGGUGAGGCAUCAUUCAAAAUUUUGCCCUAUCAACUUUCGAUGGUAAGAUAGUGGCUUACUCUGGUGGUGACGGGUGACAGAGAAUUAGGGUUCGAUUUUGGAGAGGGAGCCUGAGAAACGGCUACCACAUCCAAGGAAGGCAACAGGCGUGCAAAUUACCCAAUCCUGACACAGGGAGGUAGUGAUAAUAAAUAACAAUAUCGGGCUCUAUGAGUCUAGUAAUUGGAAUGAGUACAAUCUAAAUCCCUUAACGAGGAUCCAUUGGAGGCAAGUCUGGUGCCAGGGUCAUUCGGUCUACCUCACGGUGAGCACCGGUCUACUCGUUCCUACUAUCGGUGAUGCAUGCCUAGACUUAAUUGCCCGGGUCGUUCCUUCAGUGCUGUUACUUUGAAAAAAUUAGAGUGCUCAAAGCAGGCCUACGCUUGUAUACAUUAGCAUGGGAUAACAUCAUAGGAUUUCAGUCCUAUUGUGUUGGCUUAUGGGAUCGGAGUAAUGAUUAAUAGGGACAGUCAGGGGCAUUCAUAUUUCGUAGUCAGAGGUGAAAUUCUUGGAUUUAUGAAAGAUGAACAACUGCGAAAGCAUUUGCGAAGGAUGCUUUCAUUGAUAAAGAACGAAAGUUGGGGGCUCGAAAAUGAUAAGAUACCAUCCUAGUCUCAACCAUAAAUGAUGCCGACCAGGGAUCAGUGGAUGUUACUUAUAGGACUCCACCGGCACCUUAUGAGAAAUCAAAGUCUUUGGGUUCCGGGGGGAGUAUAGUCACAAGGCUGAAACUUAAAGGAAUUGACGGAAGGGGUAUUCAACGAGUCUAUAGCCUUGGCCGACAGGCCCAGGUAAUCUU